CGGUGAAUACGUUCCCGGACCUUGUUCACACCGCCCGUCAAGCCAUGGAAGCUGGGUGUACCUAAAGUCGAUAACCGCAAGGAGUCGCCUAGGGUAAAACUAGUAACUGGGGCU
rnacentral:rRNA from 1 species